UUGACCUCGAAUCAGGUAGGGAUACCCGCUGAACUUAAGCAUAUCAAUAAGCGGAGGAAAAGAAACCAACAGGGAUUACCUCAGUAACGGCGAGUGAAGCGGUAACAGCUCAAAUUUGAAAUCUGGCUCCUUCGGAGUCCGAGUUGUAAUUUGUAGAAGAUGCUUUGGGUUGCAGGUUUGGUCUAAGUUCCUUGGAACAGGGCGUCAUAGAGGGUGAGAAUCCCGUAUGCGGCCGUGACCUGUGCCCGUGUAAAGCUCUUUCGACGAGUCGAGUUGUUUGGGAAUGCAGCUCAAAAUGGGUGGUAAAUUUCAUCUAAAGCUAAAUAUAGGCCAGAGACCGAUAGCGCACAAGUAGAGUGAUCGAAAGAUGAAAAGCACUUUGGAAAGAGAGUUAAACAGUACGUGAAAUUGUUGAAAGGGAAGCGCUUGCAACCAGACUUGGGCGUCGUGGAUCAUCCGAGGUUCUCCUCGGUGCACUCGACGACGCGCAGGCCAGCAUCGGUUCGGAUGGCUGGAAAAAGGUCCUAGAAAUGUAGCUCCUCGCGGGGAGUGUUAUAGUCUAGGGCGCAAUGCAGCCCAACUGGACCGAGGACCGCGCUUCGGCUAGGAUGCUGGCGUAAUGGUUGUAAGCGACCCGUCUUGAAACACGGACCAAGGAGUCUAACAUCUAUGCGAGUGUUUGGGCGUUAAACCCAUACGCGGAAUGAAAGUGAACGUAGGUGAGAACCCGUAUGGGGGCAUCAUCGACCGAUCCUGAA
rnacentral:rRNA from 1 species